rnacentral:lncRNA from 1 species
ACAUUUGCCAAUGUAGUGUUCCAGACAGUUUUAUCAUCCACAUUGCUGACCUGGAAGAUGCAUCAUUGUCUAUGAUAUCUGCAAUGGAAAUGAUCACUAGGCAAUUUCAGCCUUGCAAAUCUAACUGUGAAGAAGGUCCUUGCUUCCCCUUCACCUUCUGCCAUGAUUCUAAGUUUCCUGACGCCUCCCAGCCGUGCUUCCUGUUAAGCCUGUGAAACUAAAUUUGGGGGAUGCAUGCAACUUUUCCCUUGUCUGAAGUGAUAACUCUGCAUUCAUUCUUGACCACCAUUAAUCAUGCAUAGCUGUGCUCACUGAGGCAAUGUUUUUGAGCCAAUGGAUGAACAAGAUCUCAUUAGCACUGGUUUCCAUGGUUUAUCGCUCAUGGCCAAUGUCACACAGAAUUUUCAACCAGGAUGGGAACGCCCAGCAGCUGGAUGUCCAGCUGCCAAUUCAUCAAUUUGAGAACCUUUGGAAUGAGUACACAUCCAGGAGUGAAGAAGACAAGCUCAACUGCCAUUCUCUGAGCAGUUCAAGGCAUACUGAGUUGCGGGAGUUGUGUGGUGGUCCACUCUGACUGCAAGCACCCCUUUCUUGAACCGAACAGAGUCAAGUGGAAUCAAAGGACAUUACCUGUUGAUUCUUGGGCAAGGCCCAGAAUUUGGUGGACAUACUUAAAGAAGAAAGGAAUCUUCAGCUAAAGUGUCUACGAUCAAUUCAGAUUUGGAGGGCAUGGAUCUUCUGACAGUAGGGGCCAUUCUAGGAUUUUUUGGUUGAAGAGAUGAACUUCAACUUGGUUCCAGAUGGGUGGUCCAGCUAUUCUGCUGACAACAUUUUUCAGGGCAAGGCUUUUGCUACUGGAAUGAUUUAAGGAAGAUCCCUCAGUGUUUCAGAGUAAAGAUAUUUCUAAAGAAGUACCUGUGUCAUUGCCCAUCUUGAAGAUUGACUUUUAUGGAUUGCUCAAAUACUGAUAUCAGCUCAAUGUCAAUAUAUACUCCUACAUAUAAAAUCCAUCUUCUAAUCAUAAUCACUAGGUAAGAUGCUAGUGCAAGUUGAAGUUCUUAAAGGAGAUGACCUGAACAGCCUUCUUAGUGUACCAGGGAGACCAGAUUGAGUUUAAACUAUGUUUACCCUGCACUCAGACACGCCUAGGUGUGUCUGGGAGAUUAGUAGAUGGUGUUCAACAAGGAUCUAUUUAAACAAGGGAGACAUUAAUUUGGAUUCCUUUGGUUGUAAAUUUCCAAAAAAAAAAAAAAGGUCUAAGUUAAAAUGUUUAAGGAGGAUGGGGGAAGAAUGUGAUGACUGUUAUAGUUAAUGUG